AUGGCCAUAUACGGCAUAUAUGGACAUAUUUACCAUCCUAAAAUUAUUAAAGUACCGAGGCAUACCAAUAUUUAAAUCGUGAACUGUUACACAGUGAGGGUGAUUUCGUCUUUUUUUUUAAGUAAAUGUGCACCUCAGACAGUUUAAUAUGUAUUAAACCAAGAUGAAAUUCACUUGCAAACUUAAUUCUUUUUAAGUUUUAAGAGGAAUCUACAGAGCUCACGUGGUUUUAUAAGAAAUGGCUACUAACAGAUAACAUCUGGUGAUAUUGUGAAGGUUUAUAAAAAUAACUAUUCACAACAGGUAACAUUGUAAAGGUGUAUAAAAAUAACUAUUCACAACAGGUAACAUCUGGUGACAUUGUAAAGGUUUAUAAAAAUAACUAUGCACAACAUGUAACAACUGGUGACAUUGUAAAGGUUUAUAAAAUAAUUAUUCACAACAGGUAACAUCUGGUGACAUUGUGAAGGUUUAUAAAAAUAACUAUUCACACAGGUAACAUUGUAAAGGUGUAUAAAAAUAACUAUGCACAACAUGUAACAACUGGUGACAUUGUAAAGGUUUAUAAAAAUAACUAUUCACAACAGGUAACAUUGUAAAGGUGUAUAAAAAUAACUAUGCACAACAUGUAACAACUGGUGACAUUGUAAAG